CUCUCAGGGGUUCCACCACCUCCCAGUGGUGCUGCAGACUGGGGACGAAGAUUUAACAUAUGAGCCUUUAUGAGGACAUUCCAGAGCUAAACUACUGCAAGUCCAAGAAGCAAACUGUUUUAUAAGAAAAAAAUGUCAUGACCAAAGAUUAUGCUGGUCUUAACACCGUGAUCUUUCCACAAGUCAUGUGGAGCCCAUUCAAAAGCAUUGCGGGUCAAAUGGACACCAUUUUCCUCGGGAAGAUGGAGGGGGAAGUGGAGAGGCUACUCAGACCACAGAAUCGUCUGUGACUUCCAGGCAUGAGUUGCUUAGCAAAAUGACAGGAACUGUAAACACAUUCAUUGGGAGGGGUACAGUUCGUGACAUAUCAAAGUUCCGGAAUAACAUCCAUCAGCACUUCACUAUCAACAUGCAGCAGAUUGAACAUGUUUUCUUCUGAGGAACACUCUGCUCAUCCCUAAAUCAGAAUCUUUGGAGAAAAUGCAGAGCAUGUUGAAAAGCAGAUAAUAAAUAGUAACAG